CAUGCAAGUUGAGCGCUGAAGGUUGGUACUUGUACCGACUGGAUGAGCAGCGAACGGGUGAGUAACGCGUGGGGAAUCUGCCUUUGAGCGGGGGACAACAUUUGGAAACGAAUGCUAAUACCGCAUAAAAACUUUAAACACAAGUUUUAAGUUUGAAAGAUGCAAUUGCAUCACUCAAAGAUGAUCCCGCGUUGUAUUAGCUAGUUGGUGAGGUAAAGGCUCACCAAGGCGAUGAUACAUAGCCGACCUGAGAGGGUGAUCGGCCACAUUGGGACUGAGACACGGCCCAAACUCCUACGGGAGGCAGCAGUAGGGAAUCUUCGGCAAUGGACGAAAGUCUGACCGAGCAACGCCGCGUGAGUGAAGAAGGUUUUCGGAUCGUAAAACUCUGUUGGUAGAGAAGAACGUUGGUGAGAGUGGAAAGCUCAUCAAGUGACGGUAACUACCCAGAAAGGGACGGCUAACUACGUGCCAGCAGCCGCGGUAAUACGUAGGUCCCGAGCGUUGUCCGGAUUUAUUGGGCGUAAAGCGAGCGCAGGUGGUUUAUUAAGUCUGGUGUAAAAGGCAGUGGCUCAACCAUUGUAUGCAUUGGAAACUGGUAGACUUGAGUGCAGGAGAGGAGAGUGGAAUUCCAUGUGUAGCGGUGAAAUGCGUAGAUAUAUGGAGGAACACCGGUGGCGAAAGCGGCUCUCUGGCCUGUAACUGACACUGAGGCUCGAAAGCGUGGGGAGCAAACAGGAUUAGAUACCCUGGUAGUCCACGCCGUAAACGAUGAGUGCUAGAUGUAGGGAGCUAUAAGUUCUCUGUAUCGCAGCUAACGCAAUAAGCACUCCGCCUGGGGAGUACGACCGCAAGGUUGAAACUCAAAGGAAUUGACGGGGGCCCGCACAAGCGGUGGAGCAUGUGGUUUAAUUNGAAGCAACGCGAAGAACCUUACCAGGUCUUGACAUACUCGUGCUAUUCCUAGAGAUAGGAAGUUCCUUCGGGACACGGGAUACAGGUGGUGCAUGGUUGUCGUCAGCUCGUGUCGUGAGAUGUUGGGUUAAGUCCCGCAACGAGCGCAACCCCUAUUGUUAGUUGCCAUCAUUAAGUUGGGCACUCUAACGAGACUGCCGGUGAUAAACCGGAGGAAGGUGGGGAUGACGUCAAAUCAUCAUGCCCCUUAUGACCUGGGCUACACACGUGCUACAAUGGAUGGUACAACGAGUCGCGAGACAGUGAUGUUUAGCUAAUCUCUUAAAACCAUUCUCAGUUCGGAUUGUAGGCUGCAACUCGCCUACAUGAAGUNGGAAUCGCUAGUAAUCGCGGAUCAGCACGCCGCGGUGAAUACGUUCCCGGGCCUUGUACACACCGCCCGUCACACCACGGGAGUUGGGAGUACCCGAAGUAGGUUGCCUAACCGCAAGGAGGGCGCUUCCUAAGGUAAGACCGAUGA
rnacentral:rRNA from 1 species